rnacentral:rRNA from 1 species
GACAUGUACGGAAUCCUUCAGAGAUGAGGGAGUGCUCGAAAGAGAGCCGUAACACAGGUGCUGCAUGGCUGUCGUCAGCUCGUGUCGUGAGAUGUUGGGUUAAGUCCCGCAACGAGCGCAACCCUUGCCAUUAGUUGCUACGAAAGGGCACUCUAAUGGGACUGCCGGUGACAAACCGGAGGAAGGUGGGGAUGACGUCAAGUCCUCAUGGCCCUUAUAGGUGGGGCUACACACGUCAUACAAUGGCUGGUACAGAGGGUUGCCAACCCGCGAGGGGGAGCCAAUCCCAUAAAGCCAGUCGUAGUCCGGAUCGCAGUCUGCAACUCGACUGCGUGAAGUCGGAAUCGCUAGUAAUCGCGGAUCAGAAUGUCGCGGUGAAUACGUUCCCGGGUCUUGUACACACCGCCCGUCACACCAUGGGAGCGGGUCUCGCCAGAAGUAGGUAGCCUAACCGCAAGGAGGGCGCUUACCACGGCGGGGUUCGUGACUGGGGUGAAGUCGUAACAAGGUAAGCGUAGUGCU